CCCUUGAUCUCUGUAGCAAGAGAUUCUCUGCUGUCCUGUAUACUGUUUUCCAGCCCAGCGAUUAAUUUUAUGACUAUUAUUCUAAAUUCACUUUCUGUUAUAUUAUUUAAAUCCUUUUUGAUCACCCAGAAUGCAUAUUCUUAUCAAGCACACAUAGAACAUUCUCCAGGGGGAACCAAGUAGUAGACCAUAAAACAAGCCUCAAUAAAUGUAAAUUCACAAAUGUAUGGAAAAUUAUUCAACAGACUUGUAAAUAACCAGUGGGUAAUGUAACAGAGCAAGAAAAAUCCAUUGAUAUGGUUUAAAAUUCCUCACUACAAGCAACCUGUCAAUAACUGCCACUAGUUCAGCCUCAGUAUAGUAUUAAUCUGAACAGAAAAUCAAACUUCCCCAUUUUCUACUAUACAUGUGUGAGAAGUAAAAUUUUUUUCAUGUAUUUCAACGAAAACAACAAAAAACUGAAUGCAAAAAGAGAUAGAAGAAUCUUCUGUCUUCUAUUAUGCCAGACAUUAAAGAGAUUUAAAAAAAAAAUGUAAAGCAAUGCCACUCCACUAAUUUUUAAAUUUGGAAGGUAUAGUUAAUUUUUUCAUAAAAUAUAGGUUAUGUUAACAUGCAAUGGGUUUAUUGUUAUUUUUAAAUGAAUUAAUAGAAACAUUAGCAAUUAUUUGUUUUUAAUUUCAAAUAGAGUAAUAGUGAUAGACAUAACUCAAAGAAAACUCUUUGGGGUCCUUAGACCAAGAAGUUUUAAAACCACUGUGUACAUAAUGAGUAAUAAAUCCUGCUUUGCCUUCCCCAUUUGAAAUGAUAUGACUGAUACCUCUGCCUAUAAAUCUUUUUGGUCUCUUACUCUAUAUGUCCUAGCAUUACACAUGUUUCAGAGUUGUUUUUUUUUCUUCCCCGAGAUAGUGCCACUUGGCAUUUAUAUGAAUACUCACUACAGAAUAUACUAAAAAAUGAUCAUGCUUACACUGAGUGCCAAGAUACUUGGAAUAAUUUUUACCCUGUGUCUCUUCUAAUACAGUAGAAGUGCUAGGAGUAUUGCUAUAUCUUUAGUAUCUUUUACAUAUCUGUAUUAAGAAUUUCUGAAAUAAUUCCUCUAGUUCAUGUAAGUAUUUAUGCACACAUCUUAAAUUCCUUUAGGUGAAACCUGAAAAGGUAAUAUGCCAGAGGCCCAAACUAUGGGAAUGUCAAUCAGGAAUGAUGAUAACACAUCUGUGAGUUUCACAUUAAUUUCUUCACACUUCCUCUGAAAUGGAUUUUUGUUCUGUUAUGGACUGAAUGUUUGUCUCCACCCCAAAUUUAUAUGUUGAAGCCACAACUCCUAAUGUGCUGAUAUCUGGAAGGUAAUUAGGGUUAGAGAGGUCAUGAGAGUGCAACCCUCGAGACACCACAGAGCUUGCUCUCUCUCUCUCCAUGUGCUCAAACCUAGAAAGGCCAUAUUAACACAAAGCAAGAAGGUGACCCUUGGCAAGCCAGGAAGAGAGCCUCCAUCAAAACGUGACCAUACUGGUACCCUGAUCUUAGACUUCCAGGUUCCAUAACUGUGAGAACAUAAAUUUCUAUUGUAUUUUGUAAUGGUAGUUAGAGCUGAUUAAUACAAUAAUUUUAGGCCUGUGAGUUAUUCCACAUAUUUCAUAUAUUGAGAGUAUUUUAGGUAUUAGCUUUUCAAAUCCUGAGAAUAACAAUGUAGUUUUUAGAGUCACAAUAUGGAUUCAAAUUUCUCCUCUUUAUUUUCUGUGUGAUCUUCGGCAGGUUACUUAACUCCUCCCUGUUUCAGUUCCCUCAUCUUAAAUUAAGGAUAAUCACAGUACCUCUCUCAUAGGAUUAUAGUGAAGACUGAGCAAAUAUGUGUAAAAUAAUUAGAACAGUGCCUGGCACACAGAUUCUAAAACUACAUGAAUAAUUUCUUUGCAAGAAUUUAUCUUUGGAAUAAAAUUCCACUUCCAAGUAUACAUAAUUGCUGUGUAAGACAAAGAUGGCCUAUAGUAAAUCCCUUUCCCUAAUGUCCAGGGCUGUGGACUGGACUUUCAAACUUUAGAAAGCACUGAACACCUGGAGUGACUGUUAAAAUACAGAUGGAUUGAGUGCAUCCUCAGAUGUUCUUAUUUCACAUGUCUGGGUGAGCCCUUGGGAAUGUGCAUUUCUUACACUUUCCAGAGAUGCUGAUGCUGGUUGUUUGGGGACCCCACUUAUCUACUAGGACUACAUUUUGUAUACUUUAUAAAAAUUAUCAGCUUAUGAGAGUAUUUAGCAUACCCUAAGUUUUUGUUUAAUGAUUGGAUUUGAUUGAAUACAAGAGAAUAAAACCAUUGAUUCAGUUGGGUACACAGAAAACACUGAGACACUUCUCAUUCUUUUCAAUUGCUUGUAGUGGUGCGGAUUUUUUUUUUUUUUUAUAGUAGCAAUGCACCUUUCUUAACCAACACAAAUUUUGCAAAGCAGUAAAAUGAGAGUUCACAGAAUUGAAAUUUCGCAGAUUUGAAAGGCAAAGAGAUUCAAGAUGGGAAUCAUUAAGCUUUCUGAAUUCUGUGAUAUAAUAUGAAAUGUUUAUUUACUUUAAAUUAUUUAGCUCUUAAAAGGCAUGAUCUGAAAGUAUUUAUUGUGUAAGUGCUUUCAUGUGGCCUAUACUAUUAUGACUUGAGCAUACUCAAUUUUCAUCUGUAACUACAAAAUAGUGUGACCUUUUCCUCUUAAGGGCAAACUUAAGGCUAUCAGAUAGGUAUAUAAGUGAAGUGUAGGGUCUUGUUGGAAUAUGUGUGGGAGUAGAAUUCCCUUGACAAGCAAGGAAGCAAGUAGUAUACAUAAGAAAAUAUGGAUAUUUCAGCAUUAAAUAACCUUUAUUAAAUUUGCAAGCAAAUUCUAAUUUGCAAGUGAUUUAAAUUGAGAGAAAGAACAAUCAUGUAGACGGAAGCACUCCUAUCUUGAGCAAUAAAUCAGAGUAUUUCAAAUGAGAGAAUCUUAUAGCUUGUACAGUUUCACAAGAGAUAGUUUAAAAUGAUUUGGAGGGAACAUCUCUGAAACAGCAAAUAUUUGACUGAAUGGAUAUUUAGGGUGCUAGCUUAAAAAGUUUAGUUAAUCAGAGAAAGAUGAGAGUAACUUUUACUUUCUAUUGUUGUUAUUCUGCCCAGAUGUCUGCAAACAUUUUCUCUAUAGAGCCAGAUAGACAGUAAAUAUUUUAGGCUUUGUGGACCAUAAGGUCUUGCAUUGCCAGUUACUUUGAUAUAGCAUUAAAGUAGCCAUAGAUAAUAUGUAAAUAAAUGAGUGCGGCUGUGUCCCAAUAAUACUUAAUUCACAAAAACAGUCAGGAAGCUGGAUUUGUCCACUGGAUGGUGUUUUCUUGCCCCUGUUCUAUUCAACAGAAAGAACAAUAAGGCAGAAAUUAUAAAAUUCUAAGUAGUUUGUCUGAUAUGGAUGAUCACUCUAGCAUAAGGUUUAUAUGUACCAAUGAUGUGUUUUAACGUUUAGAAAUGUUUUCCACAUACAUGGGAUAAGGAAAAGGCACUUACUAUAAAUGGGAAGACUUGUAACAAUACAUAAACAAUCUCUUUUUUAUCACUUCCUAUAUUAAGUGAGUAAUUAUUGAGUUCUUCACCAUUUCACGAGAGUUUCUUCCUUUUUACAGUAAGACAUCUAAGUUCCUGAAUUGAACAGAAAAAGACACAGGGUUUUUUUUUUUUUUUUUUUUUUUUUGUCCCUGGUUUGUAAGUGGGGGGAGAAGGCUGAGUCAGGGUCUAGGAAUGGACCUGGUGCUGCUUUGGAGGUCCUGAGUUUCAUCUGAAGUUUACAGACACACUUUUGAGGAUGUAACCUGUAGUAAGUGGUACAGUAAUCUUGGUUGUCUAAGUGUUAAGAGUUCUUGCUUAAUGAAACAAAUGCAUACUAGUUUCUAUAAAAUGAACUGUUUUCUCUUUGAAAUUCCUCCCCCCUACAGAAUUCACACUGAGGUCAACGUUCCCCCCUACACAUUCCUAUGGAGACCUAACAUCCAGGAUUAGCAAGAAGUGUAUUAAACGUCUUUUUUUUUCGAGCUGCCCAAAGAGUGUCUUUGAAGACACUCUUGAAUUGUUUUUGCUGUGGACAUUUGAUUUCCUAAACAAUCCAAGACCAUUCCCCUCUUUUAUGCUUUUACCCUAUCCUCUCCCAUCCCUCCAAUUUUUAACUACCUGAAUUGGGUAUGUUCGCCCAGUUAUAAGCACUCCUAACGCUGGGUACUUUACUACUGAAGUGCUCAUCAUUCUUGUAAUUCUUCAUAUGGUCUUAGAUUGUGAAUUCCAUGAGGUUGGGUACAAUUUUGGAUUUGUUCACUGCUGUAUCCCAAUGUUUUAUAGUGGAGCCUGGAUCAUGGUAAGUGCUUAACAACUAUUUUUUUUCAAUGACUGAAGGAAUGAUGUGGUUUUAUAAUUCAGGUCACAAGAAUUUACUCUUAGUAGCCCCAGGGCCUACAGCCACGUCAACCUUAGGCACUAAAUAAAUGAUGCCUUCGCAUAUACUAUUUUCCUCUACCUGGACUGCCCUCCUUCUGCUUCUGUACCUACUAAAAUCCUAGUCCUUCAAGAAUCAAGUCAUGGUCACCAUGGAAGACUCUACAGGUUGUCCAUUUUACCACUCUAGGGGGUGCCACUGACAUAGACUGUGACAUGAAUGGUGAAACCCUGGAGCUGUGCAAUAUAAAGGCCACUCCCAGCUCAAAUAUCUCAUUCUACUAGUAUGCUGUACUAGUGUACUAGACUGUGAUCUCCAUGAGGGCAGUGAUUUUUGUCUCAUGUAGCACCUAGAACAUAGCAGGAAGUGAAUAAAUAAAUAUUGACUGAAUACAUGAAUGACCUCCUCAGUCAUAAAAAAAUCACUGGUCCUUUAUGUCUUACAUCUUGUCCUUGCUUCUGGUUUGGCAACUUUUUUUGUGUGGAAUGAUGUUUGUAAGUGCCUCACGAUUAUGACCCAGUUCCCAGUGAUUCUGAAUCUUCUUUUUUAUACUGGAAUGUGAGGGUUUUAGAGAGCCUGUAAUAGUAAGAUGGAAGGCAUGAUGCCAUAUCUACACACAGGCAGAUCAACUCUCCACAGAAAUUUCUGGAAAUUGUGCACAACCAUGUUUUAAUGUGGCCUGAAAAUUUCACAUCAGGGUGUGGUACAUACAGUUUGGGUCACAAACCAUGGUUUUUGAGAAGUGCUGUUUGAGAGUGAAGGCUCUAGAAACUUAGAUAGGAAGCACAAAUAAGCCUUAAUGGAUGGCAGUUAUACUCACAGGUGCCAGCCCAAACAUAAGGUACACAACCAGGCAUUGAUGGCUUGAAUUGUAUAAAAGAGUGGUGUCCCAUGUUCUCAAGAGUUGGGGGAAGGGAGGGACUGUGUCAUACGUGUAGGUGACCAAACCUCAUGUUUUCAGCAAUGAUAUCUAGUAUAUUGUGAUUUAAUAUUCUCGGUAUUUUGGGGUCUCAGAUCAUACAGGAGCAUUUUUUCUCUUGGAUUCACUGCAAAGCCCAAGGAUUUACUCACACUUUCCUGGACACACCUCACUUAACAUGACAUUUGUACAAUGAUGUUUUGUAUCAGGCUGAGUAAGUGGUAAAGCAGUCAAUCAUUGAGUGUAUAACCCUGGGUAAGCAUUGCCAAACAAUGGCCCCUGUGGCAAACCUGGCCUGCAUCCUGUUUUUAUAAAUUUUUAUUGGAACACAGAUUUUUGCUCAUUGUUUACAUAUUGUCUAUGGCUGCUUUUACUUUAGAGUUGAGUAGUUGAGAUGGAGACCAUGUGACCCACACAAAGCUGAAACUAUUUACUCUCUGGUCUUUUACAGUUUGCCAACUUCUGACUUAGGAGACGAAGCCUCCUUCUGUCAUUAGAAGAAGUCAUGUUGUAAUUGCCUAUUUUCGUUUUUAAAUUGAAGUAUAGUUAACAUACAAUUUUACAGUAGUUUCAGUUUUUAUUUUCAAGGCAGAAACAUAUUUGUUGAAAACAUUUCAUAAAUUGGUUUCAUAAAUUUUGGUAAGAAAAAAUUAAGACAUUAGCUAUUCCUCUGGAAUGCUGAGCCCUAUACCCCAUCAUCUAGUAAGUUCACUUUCUGUGUGAAAAUCAGUACAAAUCUCUCACAUUGUCCCAACUUUCCUUUUAAAUGCCAUGUCUGAUAUUCGUUUGAGAGAAUUCAGAGAAGUUAAAUGAAAAAAUAUUAGUGAUCUCUCAAAUUUUCCAUUCUAGAAGUAAACAAGGACUAUAUUUGGCUCAUUUUUCUUGUUCUAGGAUGUGUCAUAUUGAUGCAAUACUGUUUGGGUGCUGUAUUAUACAGAUUGUUUUAAACUAACUGUCCUCUGUAUGCCUGUUGAAUUAUAGAAAAUCAGGGUUGGAAUACAUUUCAUUUCUUCAUUAGACUAUCUUUUUAAGUAGCCUAGACAAAUCUUGGGGUUUUUAUGUCACUGUUAAGUGCCUGAUUAUCUAAGGAUUUGUUUUAAGGUCUUGGGCUCCUACUUGGAGACUACAGUACAUUUUACAUCAUUGGCUCUGGAUGGUAAAACUAAACUGGAAGAACUUGUAAGACACAUUGUGUUAGCUAAAAUCAAUAUUAGGUUUAACUAUGCAAUAUAAAGUUUAUGAUUCUAAAAUGUUAGAAAAAUAGGUGACUUACAUAUGGAUUUAUUUUUCUCACAGGUAAUUUUUUUUAUCUUGUUCAUGUUUUUAUAAACACUCGUGGAUAUUUUUCCUUAUUUUCAUUAGUGUUAACUGUAUUGCCUAAUUUAGUUCAAUAUUGAAUUUUUUCUAUUAUUUCUUAUUUCUUCAAGACAUUAAAUUCAGUAAAUUAUUUAUUUAAUUUUGGUUAUUUUCCUGUUAAAAAUGCAAGGAAUUUUUCCCUUUGUAAAGGACUAUAAAAGGGCAUUAAAUGUAGAAAAAUUUCAAUUUUUUUCUAUCCUUGGUAGAGGAAAGAUGAUAUUGCCACUGUCAGGUGUGAUAAAAAGGCAAAUACUUAGAAUUAAAGGUAGAAUAAUAUUUUAAAAAGAUAUCAAAUACAUAAAUCUGUUUUGAUCAAUAAAUAUUUGUUGUAGCAAAGACUAGUGUCUUUUAAAGAUGGGAAGGUAAAAGUACUAAAUCAGAUUAUUUUCCUUAAAAUAAAGACAAAGAGAAACUUACUUGGCUUAUACUUUCUGAUAUUAUUCCUACACAGAACAAUUACAAGCCUGAGAAUAUUUCUGAUUGAAAAGAUGAAAAAAAAUGUUAAAGAUACAUCUUGUUCUGCUACAUAUAUUAAAAAUCUGUUUGUAGUAACAACUGAAACAUCUGUCUCAUAAUGAGGUAUCUCUGAGAACAUAAAUAAGGGAUGUUUUCCCUUUAUAUCAGGGCUUUGCAGAAUGCAUUUCUCUUGUGAAUAGCUUGUAAUUUAUUCUGCAAAUGUUCAAACUUCACAAUGAAUAUGUUAAGUGAUUGUGGUUAAGAGGUGGUAUGUGGAUUGUGAUUGUGGUUAAGAGGUGGUAUGGUAAAUUUAUCAAUGAAGGCCCAUAAAAAAAAAGGAAACCAAAUUUUAGGAAAAGCUCAUUUAUUCAUACAUAAAUAUUUAUUGUGCUACUAUGUGUCAGACCACUGUGUUAGGGAGUAAGUACAGAAUAAUAAACAAGACCCAGUCUCCUUCAAGGGCUGAACACAGAUAACUCACCAAAUACAGAAGUGGUAAGUAGCAGGACUAUGCAUAUGGUGCUAAGAAACAACAGACGGUAUAUCCAGACCUAUGUCAGUGGGGAGCCCAGGAAUGAUUCUCAGAGGAAAUACUGUCUGAAAGCUGACCUGAAGGUCACAUGAAGGACUCUAGGAGAAGGUGGAGAAGAGGAGGCUUCAGGACAGAGAAAAAACAUGCAAGAGGCUGGAGAUGAGACAGAAUGUCAGAACAAGUAGUUAUGUGUGGCUGAGAGAGCUGGGAGUGGGUGUGAGGAGAAAUGGCAAGGAAUAUGGCUGAAGAGGUAAACAAAAGCUCAAGCUAGGUCAAACUAGGUCUAACUAGAUUUGGACCAUUUUUCAAGGACAAAGAGAAGCCACUGAAGGUUUGUAUUUUAGAAAGAUCACUGGGGUACCUUUUUGAAGGAUGGCUCAGAUAACUCCCAACAGUCAGGCAUGAAAAGCAAGAACAAUGAUAACCUGGACUAAAUGAUGAUUGGAUAGAGGAAGGAUAUUUAAGGGUUGAGACCAAUAACCUAGUAGAUCUGGGGGGUAAGGGAAAGGAAAAAGUAACUGAGAAAGGGAACAUAAGAAGUGGACUGAGUUUUUGUGGGGAAACACUGGAUUUCAGUUUUAUCAGUCCCUGUAAGACACUCAGAUAUAAAGGUCUGAAGCUCAGGAGAGAUGGCUGGAAAACAGGUUUGGGAGUGAUCAGUAUACAAAUGGCAAAAACAAGCACC